GAUGAACGCUGGCGGCGUGCCUAAUACAUGCAAGUCGAGCGAACGGACGAGAAGCUUGCUUCUCUGAUGUUAGCGGCGGACGGGUGAGUAACACGUGGAUAACCUACCUAUAAGACUGGGAUAACUUCGGGAAACCGGAGCUAAUACCGGAUAAUAUUUUGAACCGCAUGGUUCAAAAGUGAAAGACGGUCCUGCUGUCACUUAUAGAUGGAUCCGCGCUGCAUUAGCUAGUUGGUAAGGUAACGGCUUACCAAGGCAACGAUGCAUAGCCGACCUGAGAGGGUGAUCGGCCACACUGGAACUGAGACACGGUCCAGACUCCUACGGGAGGCAGCAGUAGGGAAUCUUCCGCAAUGGGCGAAAGCCUGACGGAGCAACGCCGCGUGAGUGAUGAGGUCUUCGGAUCGUAAAACUCUGUUAUUAGGGAAGAACAUAUGUGUAAGUAACUGUGCACAUCUUGACGGUACCUAAUCAGAAAGCCACGGCUAACUACGUG
rnacentral:rRNA from 1 species